AUUCUUAGUGGCAGAUUUAGAGUGCAUUGGAUUUAAGCUUCAAACAUAAGAGUCACAUCUUCUAGAAUA
rnacentral:tRNA from 1 species